CAAAAUCCCAACCCACUCCUCUACUGACACUAAUCGUACGCCACCUCUGCACCACAGCCCCUCGCCUCCAUUGUUAACACCACCACUGCCUUACCAUCACCACCGCCACUUCACCAUGAAAAACACCAAUAACCAUCCCAAAACUCUGACUAAGCAAUAAAUUGGAUCAGAAACCACUCACAAUAGAUUGGAUCGAAAAUCACCAACAACCAUCUAUAAACCAUUGCCAAAUAGUGAGAACUCCUCAUUGUUGCUACAACGAAGGCCACUCCUACUUUCACAAUUACAUGACGCUGGUGUUGGCACAGCCUUCGGCGCUAGCACCAAGUGGGUUUGUCACCACCUGGUGGUUGGCGAAUCUAGGUACUUGAAAUGUUCAUUAUUGCAGUCAUUAGCAAGCUUGUUCGUCGGUCCGUUGGGAAGAAACUCAGAAAGCAGAGCUGCAGCACGAAGAUGAAGAAGAUGCUGGGAAAUUGGGCCUACUUUCUCCCCAUUUUGGGCCUUUUUUAAAAAAAAAUAAGGCCCCAUACCUUGAAAUUAAUGGAUGGCUGGAGUGGAUAUAUUUUCAUUGCAUUCACCAAUUUGAAGAGUCCAAACUCCAAAAUUGAAACCAAUUAACCAAGGCUGAAUGGAACUGCUGAAGGCGAAGGGCUAUUACGAAGAGCCGAAGACAGUAGAUUGGUGCCUGGCAAAGUGGUGUGAGUUGACUGGAUGGUGAGAUGGCGUCGAUGUCGGUGUCGGUGUUAGUGACCGGUGAGCCAUGAGCGACAAGGAGGUGGACGAUGGAGUGGUACGAUCGUGCGAGUUGAGUGGACGCCGAUGGCUGCAAGUGCGACUUCUUGCCUUGGUAAGCUAUUCUGGCUUUUAUUUUAUUUUUUUCUUUUUGAUUUUAAUGAUUUAAUUUGAUUGUUAUGUUAAACGUGAUGAUUAUGAUUUAUGAAAAUUGGGAAAUUUGUAAAUUUUGUAAAUAUGUGAAUUGGGAAUUUUAUGAUUUGUGAGAAAUGUUCAAUUUGUGUUGGAAAUUAGAAAUUGGAAAUUGGUGAUAGUUUAAGUCUUUAAGACUAAGUUUAAUUUAUGUUUAAUUUUCAUACAAAUUAUGUUAACUAGGAAAAUUACCGCCGAUCUUGAUUCUUGAGGUUAAUCGACACUUUUGUCUUCAUUUUAAUUUUUUUUGGCAUUGAGGUGAGGUCCCUAUAUGAUGAAUAAAUGAGAAUUGUGAUUUAUGAUUUAUGAUAAAUAAUUUAUGCUGUAUGAGUCAUGAGUUAUAAUUUAUCAUUCAUGAUAUUUGAUUUGUGAUUUGGGAAUUUAGGUUUGGGAAAUUAUGAGAUCCCGUAGAAUGCUGUUGUCUAAGUUUAUAGUAUCGUACAUUUUUUUUAGUAUUUUGGAUUGUAUUGGAAUAUAUUUUCAUAUGUAUAUACUUUUUAUGUUUUAGUGCAUUUAAAUAUAUAUUGAA
rnacentral:lncRNA from 1 species